rnacentral:rRNA from 1 species
AUGCGCGUUCUGGCGAGAGUCCUGCACCGCGCGGCCGCCCUCGCCCCCUCCGGCACGGGAGGGCCGUCGUCGUCGCCACCUGCCUCACCACAGCAACCGCCGGAGCAGUCGGCGCCGAUGGCGGUGGACUCGGACAUGGCGGUCAUCCUGGCGUCAAUGCUGUGUGCGCUCGUUUGCGUCCUCGGACUCGCUCUCGCCUCCCGGUGCGCAUGCCGACGCCGACGCUCCAGCUCCAGUUCCUCCUCCAACCCGCCCCCGAAGGGCCUCAAGAAGAAGGCAAUUGACGAGCUCCCCACCGUCUCCUUCGCCGCUACCGCUUCACCACAGCCGGCAGCAACAGAGUGUGCGAUAUGCCUGGCCGAGUUCGCGGAGGGGGAGGGCGUGCGCGUUCUCCCGCGGUGCUGCCACACCUUCCACGUUGUUUGCGUCGACGCUUGGCUCCGCACAUGCGCCACCUGCCCCUCUUGCCGCGCCUCCAUCGUUGCUGCUCCAGCCCCUGCACCUACGCUAGUGGUCGUAGUGGCAGGGAACAACAGGUGCGGGAGGUGCGGCGAGGCGGCCGCGCCUGCUGGUGGUGGAGAUAGCACGUUCUUGCCUUAA